AGGAUUUAUAUAUAUUUUUUUUAUUUAAAAAAGACCUACAAUAGCGCUUUUUCUAAAAAGUGUUAUUAAAACAUACAGCAAAAAAAUAGGACAUACAAUAGCACUUUUGUGUACAAGCGCUAUUAAAGAUAGGACAUACAAUAACACUUUUAAAAGUGCUAUAGUAGGCAUAGACUUACAAUAGCACCAGCUUCUAUAGCACUUUAAAGUGCUAUUAAAGCCAAAAAAAAGUGCUAU
rnacentral:lncRNA from 1 species